GGAUCAUUACCGAGUAAGGGUCUCCCUCGUGGAGGCCCGACCUCCCAACCCUGUGUCUACUAUACCUGUUUGUGUUGCUUCGGCGGACCGGUAGUCCUCCCCAACCUUGGGGAUGACCACCGCCGGGGGAAAAACCACGGUGUCACAACCGUCCCCUGGAGAGUCGUCCGUCGACGGCCCAACCCCAAAACUCCAAACCAAACCAAAUUUUAUUGUGAAAUCCACAACCUUUCUGAAUCAGACCUUUGAUGUAACAAAUCAAAAACAAAACUUUCAACAACGGAUCUCUUGGUUCUGGCAUCGAUGAAGAACGCAGCGAAAUGCGAUAAGUAAUGCGAAUUGCAGAAUUUCCGUGAGUCAUCGAAUCUUUGAACGCACAUUGCGCCCUUUGGCAUUCCGAAGGGCAUGCCUGUUCGAGCGUCAUUAUCCUCCCUCAAACCUCGCGUUUGGUGUUGGGCCGCGUUGGGGGGUCCGCUCCCCAACUGGUCUCAAAGACAAUGACGGCGUCCGUGGGACCCUCUUCGCACUGAGCUUUCCGGAGCACGCGUCGAGUUUCAAGGCCCCAGGGACCCGGUCACUCCUUCUAUUUUUCUUUAGGUUGACCUC
rnacentral:rRNA from 1 species